GACGAACGCUGGCGGCGUGCUUAACACAUGCAAGUCGAGCGGUAAGGCCCUUUCGGGGGUACGACGAGCGGCGAACGGGUAGGAGUAACACGUGGGUGGACCUCGCCCUCCAGCUCUGGGAGUAAGCCUGGGAAACGUAGGGUCGUAAUACUGGAUAUGACUCCACGGUGCAUGUCGUGGGGUGGAAAGCCUUGUGCGGCUGAGGAUGGGCCCGCGGCCUAUCAGCUUGUUGGU
rnacentral:rRNA from 1 species